ensembl:lncRNA
GUCCAUCCUAAAGGAGAUCAGUCCUGGGUGUUCAUUGAUAGGACUGAUGUUGAAGCUGGAACUCCAGUACUUUGGCCACCUGACAUGAAGGGCUGACUCAUUUGAAAAGACCCUGAUGCUGGGAAAGAUUGAAGACAGGAGGAGAAGGGUACGACAGGGGAUGAGAUGGUUAGAUGGUAUCACCGACUCAAUGGGCAUGAGUUUGGGUGAACUCCAGGAGUUGGUGAUGGACAGGGAGGCCUGGUAUGCUACAGUUCAUGGGGUUGCAAAGAGUCGGACAUGACUGAGCAACUGAACUAAAAUAAAUUGAUGUCAUGGCUACAGUUUGGUCAUCAUGUAGCUAACUUCAUCCGCCUGGUGGGGGUUUCAGUCUCUAUAAGGCAGCUCACAGGAUAUGGCUCAGAAUGUUGUCUAUAGCCCUUGAGAAGGAACUAGAGGUCCUUGACUAUGCUUAAUGUCUAAAGUGAAAGUGUUAGUCUCUCCAUCGUGUCUGAUUCUUUGUGACACCAAAGACUAUAACCCACCAGGCUCCUCGGUCCAUGGGAUUUCCCAGGCAAGAAUACUGGACUGGGUAGCCGUUCCGUUCUCCAGGGGAUCUUCCUGACCCAGGGAUUGGACUCACGUCUCCUGCACUGCAGGCAGAUUCUUCACCAUCUGAGACACCAGGGAAGCCCAUGCUUAAUGACUAAACUAUUAUCAUUUGGUCUCGCUUUUGCCUGUUUUCCUUUGCGUCUGCGUGUUCUCAUUUCUCUGAAUAAAUUUGUUCUUUGGCUAAAGGUUUUCCACAGACAAAAGGCAGGCAGAGGACGUGGUAGGACAAGAACACUAGGGUCCUGCUCCAUUUCUACCGCAGACAUUGACUCUGUGGUAAUGCUGGAUUGACCGAGUCAUUCAAUCAGGCUUGGGUGACAGUGUCUUCGAGACUUAAAGUUCCCAGAGGGUGCUUUCAAACUAAGAGGCAUUUGUUAACUCAAAUGAAUCUAAUCUGAGAAGGUGAGAAUCGCUCUUGGGAGAUGAGUUGAUGAUUUCUUCUCAUCCACUCAUGCCCACUCAGUCUGGUCUCUCCACUUAUCCCAGAGCUAGACAUUGGGGUGAGAAGGGGACAUUUAUGUCCACCCCUUUCCUCAAGCCCUGAUUUAAAAAUGGAGGAAUUCAGAGGGAGACUCAUCCCUUGUCCUUCUUCCAUUCCUGACUGUCUUCAUUUCUGAAGAGCAGUUCACCAGCCCCCGAAACUGCAACGUCAGGCUGGUCCUCAGCAACGUCAUGUCUUCCGACGUCUUGAGCAGUGUCUCUGUGUGGGUUCUUGCCAUUCUGAGCUGCUUCUUCAUCUGGACAGUUCUUAGUUGUCCUACAAGGUUCUGCUCCAAUGUCACUUCCUUCACGAAAGCUUUUUGACUUGCCUAAGCAGACUUAGCCCCUUCUCAUAUUUCUGCAGUAGCCCUUAUGACUUUGGCAGGUAAUUUAUCUGUUUACAAGCCGGUCUCUUCUUAUAAAUCAUGAGCUAUCUUUUUUUUUUUUUUGCUACACAGCAUACAUGAUCUUAGUUACCCCACCAGGGAUUGAACCUGCAUCCCCUGCAGAGGGAAUGCAGAGUCUUAACCACUUGACUGCCAGGGAAGUCCCUCAAGAGCUAUCUUUCCAUAGACUCACCACAAUGCCUCUCCCAUAAAAGAUGCUAAAUGAUAUCUUUUGAUGAAUAAAGGAAUCCAUGAAUGAAGACCCGCUUUCCUGAUGCAUCCUGAAAAAUGGCUCUUUGUUUUAAGACAUUCUGCUUGCCUUCUUCUCAACUAAAGUGGCUUGAUUAUCUCCUUGCUCAAUUUAGUGAUGCUCAGCUGAAACCCAACUGUCUCUCAUGCAUUCCAGACUAUCCCUGUCUGUCAUAUAAGUUUGAAUACCUCUCUGGAGGGUACACGUGAGUGCUCUUUCAACACAAAACUGCUUUUGUUACACUCUCCUAUAAUUAGAUUCUCUAUAGAACGGGACUUGCUAAAUUGGGAAGAGUUAGAGCUUGUGUGGGGGCAGGAAAUCAGACUGACAGAGCAUAUUCAGCUCUCAAACUUUCAAUCACUCGUGAGAUCUGCUGCAGACACGGCAGAUGGCAGAAUAUUCUAAAAAGGCUGAUAGAAAGAAUCCACAGAAGGCUCUGGACCCCAGGCAAAAACACGACCACACGUGACUUGCCGUGGCCAGGCAUAGACGAGAAAAGACAUUCAUUCAUUCCACUGAGAUGUAUUUACUCUGUGGCUGUUCUAAAUGCUGAGGAUCCUGCAGUGAAUGGUAAAGGCAAAAAAAAAAAAAAAAUCUCUGCUGUCAGAGAGCUUCUAUUUUAGUGGUAUGACAUGGACAAUUAGCAGCAAAUAACUUAAAUAUAUAGACAGUCUAUAAAGAACAGUAAGAAGGCAUGCGUGCUCAGUUGCUUCAGUAGUGUCUGACUCUGUACAACCCCAUGGACUAUAGCCCUCCAGGCUGCUCUGUCCAUGGAAGUCUCCAGUAUUCUUGCCUGGAGGAUCCCAUGGACAGAGGAGCCUGGUGGGCUCCAUGGGGUGGCAAAAAGUUGGACACGACUGAAGUGACUUAGCAUGCACGCAUAGGGCUGGAGUCAAUUGAUGGAUACAAAACACUGUAACUUGCAAGUCCAGCCCCCUGGUUGGACUUUGUGGUUGUGAGCCUUUACAGUCAUGGCUGCUGAUGAACUUCUCUGCAUCCAGGGAUCUCUGGAGAGAGAUGCGCUGAUGCAUGGGGCCAGCUGAGCUAGUUUUUGCCGGUUGAUUGCGUUUGUACUGUCAGCCUGGCUCAUCACUCAGCUCAUUGUAUUUCCUCAGCGUUUCAUAACAGGAGCUUCCUACAAAGCUGAUCUUUGGGAAAGCACCUUGCAAUGCUCAGGGCAAGGACAGUGAAGGGGAAUGUGGCUACACUGCCCUCUGCAGCUCUGCGGUCUUUGCUUGGGGCUACGGAGUGCCUUUCUUGUCACAGAUCAGUCAGGGCCUCCAGGAACAGAGGACCGGCCUGGCAAACCAUCUUCCCUCCCUGAGGACCUCGUCUUCCCCUGACUCUUGAGCCGUCAGAGUGACCAGGUGCCUUAAUUCCAAAAUAUUUUAUAUAUUUAUCUGAGAGUCAGCUGAUUCUUUGAUCAAAACACCAAAUGUGCCUUCAGGAAACUUUCAAAAAGAGGAUUAACCCAGGCUUCCUAUUUACUGCGAGGCCUGCGUAUAAGCGAUAGGUUUUGCAAUCUUGCCUUUUGCAACUGGCAGCCCAGGAUGUGCAGAAGCGUUUAAGGCACGUCAGAGAGAUGUAGCUCCUCCCUGGGGCCUCCAGUUCUCACUGCGGUGCCGGCCAGGCAGUGUCAGCCCUCCUACAGUUAGCUGUGGAUUCAUUAACCAAGACGAGGAUGCACCGAGAUGAUGGGGAAAGUGGGAGUUAAGGGGUGAUGUGGAAGGAAUAUCGGCGCUGGCAGGGGGACACCUUAGUAGUGACUGUGGGUGGUCGGGCUCUGCCCUGUAAGAUAUUUCCUCACCUGGAAAGUGGGGAGUUAGGCCAGUCUCUAGACUCACAGGCUUCCCUAAAGAAUCUGUUUGCCAAUGCAGGAGACUCGGGUUCAAUCGCUGGGUCGGGAAGAUCCCCUGGAGAGGGAAAUGACAACCCAUUCCAAUAUUCUUGCCUGGGAAAUUCCAUGGACGGAGGAGCCAGAGGGCUACAGUACAGGGGGUUGCAAAGUGUCGGACACGACUGAGUAACUAAACAACAACAACCCUAGAUCCACAAUCAGUGCCUCUAAGAAGCCACAGCCUAAAAGGACCGAUGAUGCUGGGAAAGACUGAAGGCAGGAGAAGAGGGGGACGACAGGGAUGGGGUGGUGGGAUGGCAUCACCAAAUCGAUGCAGCCAUGAGUUUGAGCAAGCUCCGGGAGUUGGUGAUGGACAGGGAAGCCUGGUGUGUUGCAGUCUAUGGGGUCACAAAGAGUUGGACAUGACUGAGCGACUGAAUUGAACUGAACUGAACUGAAAAGGACCAACACUAGAAAGUGGUUUAAAGUCAAGAAGGUGGCUUGGGGGAGGAGGAGAAGAAAGAGCCUUCUUUCCUUUCCUUCCUUCCCUCCCUUCUUCCCACCCUCUUCCUCCCUUCCUUCCCUCCCUCUUCCUUCCUUCCCUCCCUCUUCCUCCCUUCCCUCCCUCUUUCUCCCCUCCCCUCCCUUCCCUCCCUCCCUCCCUCUUCCUUCCUUCCCUCCCUCCCUCCCUCUUCCUUCCUUCCUUCCCUUCCUCCUUCCUCACUCCCUUUCUUCCAUCCUUUUUUCCAGUCACAUGGAAAAGACUGUGACUCAGUGAGUCAGGAACCAGCCGAGAUGACUGACCGAUGUCUCUUGAGCAUCUUGGAGAGCGUGAGAUCUGUGCUGUUCCGUGAGCGGGAACUUGCAGAUACAAAUAGACUCGGAGAUGCCGAUGGGAGAUAGGGCAGUAUGUAUGAGAGCAGUGUUUGAAGACGUAAAUCCAUGGAAAUCUCAAGCACGUGUGAUAUCCCCUUUUCAGCUCUGGAGAGCUCCACUGUGGGAUUUUAUUUAUUGGGCUCUUACCAGGUUUCUUAAUCCUUCUCUUCGUCCACAAGGAUUUCUGAGCAUACGUUUUACUCACACAUGGGCAGUCUCUGUUGUCAGAGUAAAAAGUCAGAUGGUAUUUUGGUUUAGAGGGAGAGAGGGAGGCAGAGGGAGAAAGAGAGGAUAAAGUGUACUUGCUCCAUGUGGGCAACUGUCUGAAACAGUCUUCCCCACGUAUUGGGGGCAACUGGCUUUGUUCCAGGUGGGGGCUGGAGCACUGGGUCCCUGCCUGGUGUCACCACACACCAGGCAUCGGACACACAUCCUGGGUGGGCGCGACUGUUCUGAAUUUCCUCCGUGGCUUGUUGUCCUUCCGAGUUUGUGGAACCAGUCUGGUGGGCAGAGGAGACUGGGAUGGAGGCGGGCAGAGGAAGGAGGAAAAUGUGCAUGUGUGAGUCUGGGGUUUUGUUCAGAUUGAGGAUGGUUGCACAUGUGGGCAAGGAGAGGGCGGGGCAUCUUUUCCUCCACUGAUCUAAAUUCAGUGGAUUUUCCUUGACAGAUCUAAGCUCAGCCCAUUCAUAUCUGCAUUCAGGACGGGAAAAAAGACUUGGGAAACACCCGUCUUGAUACUGCGUGAAACAUAUUUUUGGAUUCAAGUAUCGGAUGUGGUUGUCUUGGUGGAUUUAAUGAACAUAGAACUCUCAGCUUCCCUUCGCGUUAUAAUUACAGUUGGUUUGGUAAUUCUGAAAAGUUGUUUAUAAGGACCUAAAUAGACCUACAGUGGCCAAAUUUCCAUCUUGGGUGGAAGAGACUCCUGUAAGGUGUUCUCCUGGGCCCUGCCCGAGAGAAGGCUCAGCCCUCACCAGGGCUGAUCUGUGAGGUGGUCUUCACUGGAGUUUCUGCUUUCUUGGCAGCGGCGGCAGUGGCGGGGCUGGAUUGAAGGCCUUCCCCACGGUGUGCACAAAUGCAUGCCCUGGGCCAGGCAACAUACAACCUUGACAGGGCAGGGUGGAGAAAAAGGAGGAGGGACUCACCUUAGAGGAGACAGAGGAGGGCAACACGAGUAUGUAUGGGAGGCGGGAGAGACUUCUUACCGUGUUACAUCCUAAACAGAUGGGAUGAUAGUGGGUUUUUCCAAACCUCCUUCAGCAUGCAUCUUCCCAACUGGGCUAUUUUGUGCUUUGAUUUUUCUCGGGCAGCCUAAGCACUCCACCCUCCUCCUACAAUCCUGAUUGGAUUAGCAUCCUUCAUCUGCUGAGCCUCUGGUUAAAAAUGCUCAGCUGCUACAGAGGGGGACACCCUCUAGUGCUCUGUUUAGAUGGUGGUGGGAUUCUGGGUGUUUCUCUCUCUUUCCUAACCCUUAUGUACUGUUGGUAUAUUAUUUUAAAAUAGAAAUUACUCUAUUAAAAAAAAAGCCCUUCAGUUUUCCCAAAGCUCAUUAGGGCCAAAUAGGCUCCUCACCACCAAACGAUGGUUUUAAAACACUGUUUGGUGAUUAAAUUGUAAAUGAAGCAAAAACACAUGGAUUAAUUUUUCCCACCAGGAAAGUGAUCGCAAAUUUAUUUUCUAUUUUGUUGAAAAGAACAUAUUUGGGAAAUUUGUUGUUAUUCAGUCUCCAAGUUGUGUCCGACUCUUUGCAACCCCGUGGACUGCAGCACACCAGGCUUCCCUGUCCUCCACUAUCUCCCAGAGUUUGCAAGUUCAUGUCCAUUGAGAUAGUGAUGCCAUCCAACCAUCUCAUCUUCUGUCACCCUCUUCUCAACCUGCCUUCAAUCUUUGCCAGCAUCAGGGUCUAUUCUAGUGAGUCUUGCAGCUCUUUGCAGCAAGUGGCCAAAGUAUUGACACUUCAGCUUCAACAUCUGUCCUUCCAAUGAACAUUCAGGGUUGAUUUCCUUUAGGAUUGAUUGGUUUGAUCACCUUGCAGUCCAAGGGACUCUCAAGAGUCUUCUCCAGCACCAUAGUUUGAAAGCAUCAAUUGUUCGGUGCUCAGCCUUUUUUAUAGAGAAGGCAAUGGCACCCCACUCCGAUACUCUUGCCUGGAAAAUCCCAUGGACAGAGGAGCCUGGUAGGCUGCAGUCCAUGGGGUCGCUAAGGGUUGGAUAUGACUGAGCAACUUGCCUUUCACUUUUCACUUUCAUGCAUUGGAGAAGGAAAUGGCAACCCACUCCAGUGUUCUUGCCUGGAGAAUCCCAGGGAUGGGGGAGCCUGGUGGGCUGCCAUCUAUGGGGUCGCACAGAGUUGGACACAACUGAAGCGACUUAGCAGCAGCAGCAGCAGCAGCAGCCUUUUUUAUGGUCCAACUCUUGUCUCUAAUUUGGAAAAUUACUUUGUAAAAAAUACAAAGAGCUUCAUCAAACUAAUGUUGAAGGAUCUAGGGCUUGGAAAGGAAUUCAGGUAAAACUGGAGUUUAGACUUGCCACAUGUCUGUAUUUGGACAUUAUAUUCCCCUGGCAAAGGAGUAUAGGUGUGAUCAUUCAUCAGACUUGAGCUUGUAUGUCCAAUGACAGGACCUCACUGGGUAGCAUAGUCUUUGGGUUAAGACAUCAUAUGAGGGACAUCUAGACUAUGAAUCCACUGUGAUCCUGAACAGGUAAUGCUCAUUCCUCAGCCUCACUUUGCUAAAUAAUGAGCCCAGCUCUUCCCAUUCAGUCCGAAUGUGCCUCCUGGGUGUGAUUCUCCUAAGGGUUAUUUAGAGUAAAAAUCACCUUACUGAUCAGGAUUGAUAAUAAAGAUUGCUAAGUCACUUCAGUCAUGUCCGAA